rnacentral:rRNA from 1 species
UACGUAGGGGCCAAACGUUGUCCGGAAUCAUUGGGCGUAAAGGGCGCGUAGGCGGUUUGGUAAGUCGGAUGUUAAAUCUACAGGCUCAACCUGUAGCCGCAUCCGAUACUGCCUGACUAGAGAAUGGUAGAGGAAAGCGGAACUUCCGGUGUAGCGGUGAAAUGCGUAGAUAUCGGAAGGAACACCAGUGGCGAAGGCGGCUUUCUGGGCCAUUUCUGACGCUGAGGCGCGAAAGCUAGGGGAGCAAACG